UGCAAGUCGAGCGGUAACAGGUCUAGCUUGCUAGACGCUGACGAGCGGCGGACGGGUGAGUAAUGCAUAGGAAUCUGCCCGAUAGUGGGGGAUAACCUGGGGAAACCCAGGCUAAUACCGCAUACGUCCUACGGGAGAAAGGGGGCUCCGGCUCCCGCUAUCGGAUGAGCCUAUGUCGGAUUAGCUAGUUGGUGAGGUAAAGGCUCACCAAGGCGACGAUCCGUAGCUGGUCUGAGAGGAUGAUCAGCCACAUCGGGACUGAGACACGGCCCGAACUCCUACGGGAGGCAGCAGUGGGGAAUAUUGGACAAUGGGGGCAACCCUGAUCCAGCCAUGCCGCGUGUGUGAAGAAGGCCUUAGGGUUGUAAAGCACUUUCAGCGAGGAAGAACGCCUGGCGGUUAAUACCCGCCAGGAAAGACAUCACUCGCAGAAGAAGCACCGGCUAACUCCGUGCCAGCAGCCGCGGUAAUACGGAGGGUGCAAGCGUUAAUCGGAAUUACUGGGCGUAAAGCGCGCGUAGGUGGCUUGAUAAGCCGGUUGUGAAAGCCCCGGGCUCAACCUGGGAACGGCAUCCGGAACUGUCAGGCUAGAGUGCAGGAGAGGAAGGUAGAAUUCCCGGUGUAGCGGUGAAAUGCGUAGAGAUCGGGAGGAAUACCAGUGGCGAAGGCGGCCUUCUGGACUGACACUGACACUGAGGUGCGAAAGCGUGGGUAGCAAACAGGAUUAGAUACCCUGGUAGUCCACGCCGUAAACGAUGUCGACCAGCCGUUGGGUGCCUAGCGCACUUUUGUGGCGAAGUUAACGCGAUAAGUCGACCGCCUGGGGAGUACGGCCGCAAGGUUAAAACUCAAAUGAAUUGACGGGGGCCCGCACAAGCGGGGAACUUGUGGUUUAAUUCCAUGCACCCGAAAAACUUACUACCCUUGACUCCUGCGAAUU
rnacentral:rRNA from 1 species